rnacentral:sRNA from 1 species
GUCAGCACCCCGUACUGAAGUGGCGGGGCUUUAUGCCUCACAUGACAUAAUAGUUGACCAGCCUAACUAAAAGUUAGGGGUUUCUCCUGUUUAAUCUAACACAACCUUUAACUCCAUUAACCUCUGGAUUUUAAUUAUAAACAGUGAUAUUUUUACGGUUUAAUUGAGAUUAAUCUCAACAAAUCAAGUGAUAGCGAUCACAGCGUCAAAUCGUAAAAUUGGAUAGUAAUAUU